GGGUUGUGAGGUUAAGCGACUAAGCGUACACGGUGGAUGCCCUGGCAGUCAGAGGCGAUGAAGGACGUGCUAAUCUGCGAUAAGCGUCGGUAAGGUGAUAUGAACCGUUAUAACCGGCGAUUUCCGAAUGGGGAAACCCAGUGUGAUUCGUCACACUAUCAUUAACUGAAUCCAUAGGUUAAUGAGGCGAACCGGGGGAACUGAAACAUCUAAGUACCCCGAGGAAAAGAAAUCAACCGAGAUUCCCCCAGUAGCGGCGAGCGAACGGGGAGCAGCCCAGAGCCUGAAUCAGUGUGUGUGUUAGUGGAAGCGUCUGGAAAGGCGCGCGAUACAGGGUGACAGCCCCGUACACAAAAAUGCACAUGCUGUGAGCUCGAUGAGUAGGGCGGGACACGUGGUAUCCUGUCUGAAUAUGGGGGGACCAUCCUCCAAGGCUAAAUACUCCUGACUGACCGAUAGUGAACCAGUACCGUGAGGGAAAGGCGAAAAGAACCCCGGCGAGGGGAGUGAAAAAGAACCUGAAACCGUGUACGUACAAGCAGUGGGAGCACGCUUAGGCGUGUGACUGCGUACCUUUUGUAUAAUGGGUCAGCGACUUAUAUUCUGUAGCAAGGUUAACCGAAUAGGGGAGCCGAAGGGAAACCGAGUCUUAACUGGGCGUUAAGUUGCAGGGUAUAGACCCGAAACCCGGUGAUCUAGCCAUGGGCAGGUUGAAGGUUGGGUAACACUAACUGGAGGACCGAACCGACUAAUGUUGAAAAAUUAGCGGAUGACUUGUGGCUGGGGGUGAAAGGCCAAUCAAACCGGGAGAUAGCUGGUUCUCCCCGAAAGCUAUUUAGGUAGCGCCUCGUGAAUUCAUCUCCGGGGGUAGAGCACUGUUUCGGCAAGGGGGUCAUCCCGACUUACCAACCCGAUGCAAACUGCGAAUACCGGAGAAUGUUAUCACGGGAGACACACGGCGGGUGCUAACGUCCGUCGUGAAGAGGGAAACAACCCAGACCGCCAGCUAAGGUCCCAAAGUCAUGGUUAAGUGGGAAACGAUGUGGGAAGGCCCAGACAGCCAGGAUGUUGGCUUAGAAGCAGCCAUCAUUUAAAGAAAGCGUAAUAGCUCACUGGUCGAGUCGGCCUGCGCGGAAGAUGUAACGGGGCUAAACCAUGCACCGAAGCUGCGGCAGCGACGCUGAUGCGUUGUUGGGUAGGGGAGCGUUCUGUAAGCCUGCGAAGGUGUGCUGUGAGGCAUGCUGGAGGUAUCAGAAGUGCGAAUGCUGACAUAAGUAACGAUAAAGCGGGUGAAAAGCCCGCUCGCCGGAAGACCAAGGGUUCCUGUCCAACGUUAAUCGGGGCAGGGUGAGUCGACCCCUAAGGCGAGGCCGAAAGGCGUAGUCGAUGGGAAACAGGUUAAUAUUCCUGUACUUGGUGUUACUGCGAAGGGGGGACGGAGAAGGCUAUGUUGGCCGGGCGACGGUUGUCCCGGUUUAAGCGUGUAGGCUGGUUUUCCAGGCAAAUCCGGAAAAUCAAGGCUGAGGCGUGAUGACGAGGCACUACGGUGCUGAAGCAACAAAUGCCCUGCUUCCAGGAAAAGCCUCUAAGCAUCAGGUAACAUCAAAUCGUACCCCAAACCGACACAGGUGGUCAGGUAGAGAAUACCAAGGCGCUUGAGAGAACUCGGGUGAAGGAACUAGGCAAAAUGGUGCCGUAACUUCGGGAGAAGGCACGCUGAUAUGUAGGUGAAGUCCCUCGCGGAUGGAGCUGAAAUCAGUCGAAGAUACCAGCUGGCUGCAACUGUUUAUUAAAAACACAGCACUGUGCAAACACGAAAGUGGACGUAUACGGUGUGACGCCUGCCCGGUGCCGGAAGGUUAAUUGAUGGGGUUAGCGCAAGCGAAGCUCUUGAUCGAAGCCCCGGUAAACGGCGGCCGUAACUAUAACGGUCCUAAGGUAGCGAAAUUCCUUGUCGGGUAAGUUCCGACCUGCACGAAUGGCGUAAUGAUGGCCAGGCUGUCUCCACCCGAGACUCAGUGAAAUUGAACUCGCUGUGAAGAUGCAGUGUACCCGCGGCAAGACGGAAAGACCCCGUGAACCUUUACUAUAGCUUGACACUGAACAUUGAGCCUUGAUGUGUAGGAUAGGUGGGAGGCUUUGAAGUGUGGACGCCAGUCUGCAUGGAGCCGACCUUGAAAUACCACCCUUUAAUGUUUGAUGUUCUAACGUUGACCCGUAAUCCGGGUUGCGGACAGUGUCUGGUGGGUAGUUUGACUGGGGCGGUCUCCUCCUAAAGAGUAACGGAGGAGCACGAAGGUUGGCUAAUCCUGGUCGGACAUCAGGAGGUUAGUGCAAUGGCAUAAGCCAGCUUGACUGCGAGCGUGACGGCGCGAGCAGGUGCGAAAGCAGGUCAUAGUGAUCCGGUGGUUCUGAAUGGAAGGGCCAUCGCUCAACGGAUAAAAGGUACUCCGGGGAUAACAGGCUGAUACCGCCCAAGAGUUCAUAUCGACGGCGGUGUUUGGCACCUCGAUGUCGGCUCAUCACAUCCUGGGGCUGAAGUAGGUCCCAAGGGUAUGGCUGUUCGCCAUUUAAAGUGGUACGCGAGCUGGGUUUAGAACGUCGUGAGACAGUUCGGUCCCUAUCUGCCGUGGGCGCUGGAGAAUUGAGGGGGGCUGCUCCUAGUACGAGAGGACCGGAGUGGACGCAUCACUGGUGUUCGGGUUGUCAUGCCAAUGGCACUGCCCGGUAGCUAAAUGCGGAAGAGAUAAGUGCUGAAAGCAUCUAAGCACGAAACUUGCCCCGAGAUGAGUUCUCCCUGACUCCUUGAGAGUCCUGAAGGAACGUUGAAGACGACGACGUUGAUAGGCCGGGUGUGUAAGCGCAGCGAUGCGUUGAGCUAACCGGUACUAAUGAACCGUGAGGCUUAACCUUACAACGCCGAAG
rnacentral:rRNA from 1 species